UACGUAGGGGGCAAGCGUUGUCCGGAAUCAUUGGGCGUAAAGCGCGUGUAGGCGGCUCGAUAAGUCCGCUCUGAAAGUCCAGGGCUCAACCCUGGGAUGCGGGUGGAUACUGUCGGGCUCGAGUCCGGAAGAGGCGAGUGGAAUUCCCGGUGUAGCGGUGAAAUGCGCAGAUAUCGGGAGGAACACCAAUGGCGAAGGCAGCUCGCUGGGACGUGACUGACGCUGAGACGCGAAAGCGUGGGGAGCAAACGGG
rnacentral:rRNA from 1 species